AGAGUUUGAUCAUGGCUCAGAUUGAACGCUGGCGGCAUGCUUUACACAUGCAAGUCGAGCGGCAGCGCGGGGGCAACCCUGGCGGCGAGCGGCGGACGGGUGAGUAAUGCAUCGGAACGUAUCCCGUAGUGGGGGACAACCCAGCGAAAGCUGGGCUAAUACCGCAUAUGCUCUACGGAGGAAAGCAGGGGACCCGCAAGAGCCUUGUGCUAUGGGAGCGGCCGAUGUCCGAUUAGCUAGUUGGUGGGGUAAAGGCUUACCAAGGCGACGAUCGGUAGCUGGUCUGAGAGGAUGAUCAGCCACACUGGGACUGAGACACGGCCCAGACUCCUACGGGAGGCAGCAGUGGGGAAUUUUGGACAAUGGGGGCAACCCUGAUCCAGCCAUGCCGCGUGCGGGAAGAAGGCCUUCGGGUUGUAAACCGCUUUUGGUCGGGAAGAAAAGGUUCUCCCUAAUACGGAGGACUGUUGACGGUACCGGCAGAAUAAGCACCGGCUAACUACGUG
rnacentral:rRNA from 1 species